GAUGAACGCUAGCGGCAGGCUUAACACAUGCAAGUCGAGGGGUAGAGGUUGCUUGCAUCCUUGAGACCGGCGCACGGGUGCGUAACGCGUAUGCAACCUACCUUUUACAGAGGGAUAGCCCAGAGAAAUUUGGAUUAAUACCUCAUAGUAUAUAACCUUCGCAUGUCGGUUCUAUUAAAGUUCCAUCGGUAAACGAUGGGAAUGCGUCCUAGUAGCUAGAUGGUAAGGUAACGGCUUACCAUGGCAACGACAGGUAGGGGUGCUGAUAGUGAGCUCCCCCACACUGGUACUAAUACACGGACCAGACUCCUACGGAAGGCAGCAGUGAGGAAUAUUGGACAAUGGGCGCAAGCCUGAUCCAGCCAUGCCGCGUGCAGGAAGAAGCAUCUAUUGUGUGUAAACUGCUUUUGUACAGGAAGAAACACCCCGUCGUGUCGGGACUUGACGGUACUGUAAGAAUAAGGAUCGGCUAACUCCGUGCCAGCAGCCGCGGUAAAAC
rnacentral:rRNA from 1 species